rnacentral:lncRNA from 1 species
GUAAAAUUGACACAAAAGCAAAGGAAACUCUAAUAGAGUUUAUAUAGAGAAUGUCAUUCCCUUCUUUCAGUUCUUCCGUUGUGUGUUUAUAGGCUGGGCUUCUCGACAAGUUAGUUUUCAUUGAGUGCCGAAGGCAGAGAAAAGCUCUUACAAAGGCGGAUUUUGAGCAGAAUGGUCAUGAUCGGGCUUCCCACGAGGGCGGCAGCCGAAGAGCAGGGAACAGGAGGAACAAAAAUGGCAAAUGGAUUUCCUACAGAAUUGGCAGCCAUGCCCUGAGGUCCCUGAGAGCUGGGGAAAUGACCUAACUAGCCUAUCCACCUUAUCAGCGCUGGAUGUCAGAGUUUCCAUGAGGCCUCUGGUGUUGGAGUACUCAGGGUGAUAUUGAACUUGAAGUAUUCAAACAGCAACACCUUGGGUGGAAGACAAAGACAAGCCAACGAUCUUACUCAUGAUUCUUCUAGUGCAGAAGUUGUUCCCACGAGGUAUGGCUUUUCUUGUGCUUCUGCCCUUGCCCUGGUGCUCUCAGAGACCUCUGAGCUCCGUGUGAGCAGAGUGUGAGCGGAGGGCCCAGGUGGGAGCUUGUGAGAGCUGUGGUCCCCCAGCUUCAGCAGAGACACAUGACCUUCCCCGG